rnacentral:lncRNA from 10 species
GCCAUUUUGAUUCUAGUUGGUUUUACACAUGGACCACUUGGGGAUGAGCUUAAUAUUGCAUACACAAAUUUAAAUAAUUCUUUCCACCAGCUCCUUUAUUAUUAGUAUUAUUUCAAUUUCCUCUUGCACUCUAGCUGAAAGAGGGAAGGGUGCCAUGUUUCUGACUGUCAUUUGUUUUGUUCAGGGCAUGAGUAGUCCCCAAGUUCCACUCUCUACAAGGUUUGAUUCCAAACAACUUAAUUUAUAUGUCAAAAGACAGAAUAUCCAUGGUUUCUCUUUUUGUCUAACAAUCCUUCUCCUCAGUGCCUUGUGGAUGGUUCUGACUGCUUGAAGGCAGGCUCAAAAUACACAUGGAAGAAAGAAAGCACACAUGGAUUGAUAUUUUAAAACUUGAUCACAUUAUAUUUCUACAGGCCAUUCUUAAUUUAGAUUGCCAAUUAGCUAUGAAAAUGUAUGGUUUUGAUUGCUAUGCACAGCAUUGACUUUCUGUUUGCAUUAUUGUUGACAUAUCACCCAGGAUGUUUGCUCUAAUAAGUACUUGCUGCUUUUCACUCCAAAGCUUUCCCUGGAGUUGGGUUGCGAAGUGUUUAGUUAUAAAACUUUAGUAGCUUUACUCAGAAACAAUGAUGCAGUUGAGGAUUGCAUUCAGAUUCAGUAUUUGGACACAAAUAAGUCACAGAUGUGAUUAAAAAAUUGGUGUUUUAGUAGAAAAAAAAACAAGGAUUUCAAGGUUAUGCAGACCUGUUUUCAAAUCCUAGCUUGGCACUAUAAGUUUGAGUAAGGUUAUUACUCCCUGAGACCCUGUUUCAUCAUUUAGGAUAAGAGAUAACCACAACCAGGAAAGGACUGUGGGCCUAAUCAAUACUUUAUACAAAGAGGCCAUUAGGGACACUUCUUGAUGCAAGAACUGUCAAUUUACUUCUUUACCAGGCACAAAAAGAAGAAAAUGACAUUAAGAGUUGGUAGUAAUGGAAAAGCUAAAUUUAAAAUUUAAUAUAAAAAUUAUGAUCUAAGAAAGAGAAAUAUUUCAGACCAAAAGAGACUUUCUAACCCAACUUCUCAUUUUUCAUAUAACAAAACUGAGGCUCCAAGGGGUGAAGAGACUUGUCUGGUGUAUUUCAUGUGUCCAGAGACAAAUCUGAGGCCAGAAUUCUAAUCUCCUGAUCAGUAGGCCACUAGACCUUAACACCGUGGCACAAAUAUCUCAUAUAAAACCCUCUAAAAUGGAAUAUAUUAUGCUAAUGGAUCUUUACAGCAGAUCCUAACAUACUAUAAAAUGUAAACAGGACAUAUAAACUAAAACUCUACUGCAUCACUAAUUAUUAUCAUUAACUGAUAUGCUAACUACAAGAAACAUUAAACAUUUGACUAAAAGCAUUGCUUGCUUUAGAACACAGGAGCUGCUGGGGAUGAAAUAGAUGAUUCGAGUCAUUUGAAAAGGCUAUCUUGGGAAAUUCAACUGGAUACUUUUUAUAUUUGUAGACAAAUAUUCUUAUAGCAAAGGAAGCUUAAAAGUUCUAUCAUUGCCGGGUGCGGUGGCUCACGCCUGUAAUCCCAGCACUUUGGGAGGCCGAGGCGGGUGGAUCACGAGACCUGGGAGGCGGAACUUGGAGUGAGCCGAGAUUGCGCCACUGCACUCCAGCCUGGGCGACAGACUGAGACCCUGUCUCAAAAAAAAAAAAAAAAAAAAUUAUUUCACUGAAUAUUUAUUUAUAAACAUCAUGACUAGGUAUGGAUGUUUGAUUGCAUCUUUAGGAUUUGGAGAGGAAUUGGCAAAAGAAAAUUUUGUAGUAUAUAUCCUGGACUAGCUUGACAUUUUACAGAAAAUCUUUUUAAAUUUCUUCCAACUUAUAGAGAAUCUGGUACCUCAAACAAAUGAGAUCUCUUUAUUUUAUUCUUAUAGACAAAAAUGGAAGAGACACCAUACCUAUUAUCCUUCCUGCUCAUUCUCCCACCCAUGUCAUAAGAAUAUACGUUCAAUUUUCAGAUAAUUUUAUUAUCAGGAUAUAUGUAACUUUUGGCUAGGAUUGUGUUCAUGUCUUCCCCUGGAAUAUGACUUAGUUUUGGUGCUAGCUCUUGCCCUGAAGUGGCACUAAAUCUAAAGCUAGAUGGGUUAUUUAUACAUGAUGACCAAAUGUAACAGUCUCCAUUUCCAGGUCUCUGAUUGGGCAAUAUUCUCCAACUCUCACCCAAAUCAUUUUCCAUGGAUCAGAACAGAUCCAAUUGCUUCCUAGUCCCUAAUCCCAAAGGCUGUCACUUCACUUAUGGGAGGAGGCUUGUUUCCCACUGUUGUUUCCUCCUAAGACCCAGGCAGAAGAGAAAAAUCUAGUUUAUAGAUGUUCCUAUAGUUAUCUUCAUUAAAUCAGAUUUUUUUGCUUAGAUUAUAUUGACCAGUACAAUUGGUACAAUUUUGCCUUUGUUUCAUGGUUCAUAUUUGAGGCAAAACACCCUUUUGGAACUCUGACAUUAGUGGUACUUUCAGCUCUGUUUUUCAAAGGGAAGAAAAAUCAAAACAAUUUUUUUAGAAAAACAGCUUACUUUCCCCUUUUUAUUUGCCAAGAUAACAAACAAAACCUUAGUUAUUCAUUCAAAUAAAAAAGACUGUGCAUUUGUGUUUAUGUUUAUUUUUAAUUCUCCAUGACAUUAAACUCUCUUCAAAAAAGUUGAUCACUCUAGCCCUCACACCAGUGGGCUCCAAUGUGACAUGUGUUAUGUUGUAGCAAUUAUUUGAAUGAUGUUUAUCGAAAGUCCCAAUUUGAAUCUCUUUUGCGUUCAGCCUAGCAUUGAGGAAUACAUGGCUAUAGCUGGCAUUCUUGUAGGUUGGCUGUUCAAAGGCCUUGUUUAGAUGAAAACCAAGAAACACAUAUCCUACAAGAAGAAAAAGUAAAAGUGCACCGUCUGUUUCAAAAGCAGUAGUUUCCUGCUAGAAGGCAAAUUUGAGUACAACUUGGUAUUGGUCACUCAAGUUGUUCUCCAGUUGGCCCUUACAAAUUCAUGCCUUGAUUCUUGGGCAAAAAGGCUAAUAAUAAAAGAGUAGAUGAAAACUAAAAAUGCCUCUUCUUUCAAACCUGCACAAAAUAUUGAGAGCAUGGAGCAUCAGAAAUGUUAGUGUCAGCAGUUAUAAAGGCAAGGAGGGGUGGUACCAUUGUACUGGCAAGCAUGAGAAAUGGUGCCAGAAGUACAGACAGCUAUGCAGGACCUAGAUAUCGGUCAGUGGCUGUUGAAAUGUAGAAACUGGCAGGCACUGGUCCCAGUGGUGGCACCUUCAGUGGCCAUCUGCAAUAGUAUUUCUGGUAGCACCACCAGUGAGCAGCAUCAGCAUGUCAUAUUCAGAAGGCAGGGAACAAGAGACAGGCUGCUUUGAGACAGGCCCUGGAUGACGGCCAACACUGGCAACAAAGCCUUCUGUGUGCUUUGGCUUUACAGUUCAAAUUUCUUUUUUGAAGAAUAGAGUGAUGGUCAUCAGAAUUAGCUGAGGCAGAAGAGGAGGCAAAAUGGUAAUCUGGAAGGUUGGUUUAUGGCAAAUUCAUUAGGCACUCCUUGGGAAAUCUCAACUGUGUGGUAGAAUUUGAAGAAAACUGUUUUUGCUAAUAGAAAGUCAGUAAAAUCCAGUAAAAUGCUGGUUUUGUGACUGCCUCCCCUCCCCCAUCCCCCUGCAGACUGGUGUGAUCAGAGAAAAAUAGGCCGCGUUUGCUCAAAUGGUUACUAAAUAACUCUUGUUUUCAAGGAUAGCUUUAAAGAAAAAAAGAAUGUACAAAAUGCCACUUGAGAGAUGUGUAAUUUGAAAAGAAAAAGAAUGGUUGUUCUUUUUUGAUUUGCUGUUGUUGGGGUAAUUUCAGACUAUUUUAAAAUAUUCACUGGUAAAGUCUCUUUCAUGUGCGUCUGUGUGAAGAGACCACCAAACAGGCUUUGUGUGAGCAACAUGGCUGUUUAUUUCACCUGGGUGCAGGUGGGCUGAGGCCGAAGAGAGUCAGCAAAGGGAGACAAGGGUGGGGCCAUUUUAUAGGAUUUGGGUAAGUAAAGGAAAAUUACAGUCAAAGGGGGUUUGUUCUCUGGCAGGUAGGAGUGGGGGUCGCAAGGUGCUCAGUGGGCAGGAGUGGGGGGGUCACAAGGUGCUCAGUGGGGGUGCUUUUUGAGCCAGGAUGAGCCAGGAAAAGGA